GAUGAACGCUGGCGGCGUGCCUAAUACAUGCAAGUCGAGCGAACGGACGAGAAGCUUGCUUCUCUGAUGUUAGCGGCGGACGGGUGAGUAACACGUGGAUAACCUACCUAUAAGACUGGGAUCACUUCGGGAAACCGGAACUAAUACCGGAUGAUAUUUUGAACCGCAUGGUUCAAAAGUGAAAGACGGUCUUGCUGUCACUUAUAGAUGGAUCCGCGCUGCAUUAGCUAGUUGGUAAGGUAACGGCUUACCAAGGCAACGAUGCAUAGCCGACCUGAGAGGGUGAUAGGCCACACUGGAACUGAGACACGGUCCAGACUCCUACGGGAGGCAGCAGUAGGGAAUCUUCCGCAAUGGGCGAAAGUCUGACGGAGCAACGCCGCGUGAGUGAUGAAGGUCUUCGGAUCGUAAAACUCUGUUAUUAGGGAAGAACAUAUGUGUAAGGAACUGUGCACAUCUUGACGGUACCUAAUCAGAAAGCCACGGCUAACUACGUG
rnacentral:rRNA from 1 species